rnacentral:rRNA from 1 species
GAUGAACGCUAGCGGCAGGCUUAAUACAUGCAAGUCGAGGGGCAGCAGUUUUGUAGCAAUACAGAAGCUGGCGACCGGCAAACGGGUGCGGAACACGUACGCAACCUUCCUUUAACUGGAAGAUAGCCCACCGAAAGGUGGAUUAAUACUCCAUAACAUAUUGAAGAGGCAUCUUUUUGAUAUUAAAGCUCCGGCGGUUAAAGAUGGGCGUGCGUCUGAUUAGGUAGUUGGCGGGGUAACGGCCCACCAAGCCUUCGAUCAGUAGCCGAUGUGAGAGCAUGAUCAGCCACACGGGCACUGAGACACGGGCCCGACUCCUACGGGAGGCAGCAGUAAGGAAUAUUGGUCAAUGGACGCAAGUCUGAACCAGCCAUGCCGCGUGGAGGAUGAAGGCCCUCUGGGUUGUAAACUUCUUUUCUUUGGGACGAAACCCCUGUUUCUACGGGGACUGACGGUACCAGAGGAAUAAGCACCGGCUAACUCCGUGCCAGCCGCCGCCGUAAGAC